GACGAACGCUGGCGGCGUGCUUAACACAUGCAAGUCGAACGGUGAAGCGCUUGCCUUUUUGGUGGGUGUGGAUGAGUGGCGAACGGGUGAGUAACACGUGAGUAACCUGCCCUCUUCUUCUGGAUAACCUCAUGAAAGUGGGGCUAAUACGGGGUAUUCCGUGUCUGUCGCAUGGCGGGUUUGGGAAAGAUUGCGCCUUUGGGUGUUUUCGGUGGGGGAUGGGCUCGCGGCCUAUCAGCUUGUUGGUGGGGUGAUGGCCUACCAAGGCGGUGACGGGUAGCCGGCGUGAGAGGGUGGACGGCCACACUGGGACUGAGACACGGCCCAGACUCCUGCGGGAGGCAGCAGUGGGGAAUAUUGCACAAUGGGCGCAAGCCUGAUGCAGCGACGCCGCGUGAGGGAUGGAGGCCUUCGGGUUGUGAACCUCUUUCGCCAGUGAAGCAGGCCUGCUCCUGUGUGGGUGGGUUGACGGUAGCUGGAUAAGAAGCGCCGGCUAACUACGUG
rnacentral:rRNA from 1 species